rnacentral:rRNA from 1 species
CGUAGGUCUCAAGCGUUAUCCGGAUUUACUGGGCGUAAAGUGUCCGUAGUCUGAAUUGUAAGUCUGUUUUCAAAUCCUACGACUCAAUCGUAGAAAGGGAAUGGAUACUGCAAUUCUGGAAGUAUCUAGGGGUUAGUGGAAUUUCCGGUGGAGCGGUGAAAUGCGUUGAUAUCGGAAGGAACGCCGAAAGCGAAAGCAGCUAACUACAGAAUACUUGACGAUGAGGGACGACAGUUCGGGGAGCAAACAGGAUUAGAUACCCUGGUAGUCCAAACCGUAAAUUAUGCUUGCUAGAUGUUUUUAUCAAUUUAUUGGUAGGAGUGUCGUAAUCUAACGAGUUAAGCAAGCCGCCUGGGUAGUAUAUUCGCAAGAAUGAAACUCAAAGGGAUAGGCGGGGGAACACACAAGCAGUGGAUUAUCUAGAUUAAUUGGAUAAUAAGCCAAGAAUCUUACCUAGGAUUGACAUGUAUUGUGUCUGCGGUGAAAGUCGCAUAUCCGUAGCAAUACGGAGCUUUACACAGGUGGUGCAUGGUCGUCGUCAGCUCGUGCCGCAAGGUGUCUAGUUAAGUCUGGAAACGAGCGCAACCCUCGUGUUUAGUUAGUAUGUCUAAACAGACUGCUCGGGUAACCGAGAGGAAGGAGAGGAUGACGUCAGAUCCUCAUGCCCCUUACACCUAGGGCCUCAUAGAUAAUACAAUGGGUAGGUACAGCGAGAAGCGAUACCGUGAGGUGGAGCAAAUCUUUAAAACUACCCCUAGUUCGGAUUGUAGUCUGGAACUCGACUACAUGAAGUUGGAAUUGCUAGUAAUGGCAGGUCAGCAUACUGCCGUGAAUACGUUCCCGGGCCUUGUACACACCGCCCGUCACACCAUGAGAGUUGGGAAUACCCGAAGCCUGUGAGCUAACUUUUUAAGAGGCAGCAGUCGAAGGUAGAAUCAAUGAUUGGGGUGAAGUCGUAACAAGGUAGCCGUAUCGGAAGGUGCGGCUG